rnacentral:lncRNA from 1 species
UCUAAACCCGUUUCGGUCCAAUUUUUAACGGUUCGACUCGUCUUGGACCUAGGUGGCUCGGCCCGUCUUGACACCACGACGCGUACGGAACAAUAUGUACAGCCCACUGCCCACACAGGCUUCCACUGGCGGUAGCGGCGUCAUUGUUUUCUUCUUUUUCCUUUGACCGCCUUCCAAUCACUCCCCCGUUUCUGCUCUACUCAAGAAGCAGUAAAUUUAAUCCUGGCUCUUAUUUUGUACAAUCAGAAAUUCGCAAGCGGUCUCAGUUAUGCCCAAAGGUGAACUUUUUAUUUCUUUCUUUUAUAAUUAUAUAUAAUUGCAUUCAGUGAUCAUACCUGUCCACAAUAAUUAAUCUUUUACCCUAAUGUGUUGUGGAUCAAUGUGGCGCUGCCAGAAAUUCCUGGAUUCUAUUAUGAUGCCGAGAAGAACAGGUACUUCCCUUAUAAGGGCCCGAUUCCUGGUUCUUCUCGAAAACCACCUCCUUUCAAUCUAUCGUCCAAAAGCAAAAAGGUAAUAAUAAUGACAUGCUGUACUAAAAACUGGGUGCAUUUUAUUAUUAUUAUUAUU